rnacentral:rRNA from 1 species
CCUACGGGGGGCAGCAGUGAGGAAUAUUGGUCAAUGGACGAGAGUCUGAACCAGCCAAGUAGCGUGAAGGAUGACUGCCCUAUGGGUUGUAAACUUCUUUUAUAUGGGAAUAAAAUGUUCCACGUGUGGGAUUUUGUAUGUACCAUAUGAAUAAGGAUCGGCUAACUCCGUGCCAGCAGCCGCGGUAAUACGGAAGAUCCGAGCGUUAUCCGGAUUUAUUGGGUUUAAAGGGAGCGUAGGUGGAUUGUUAAGUCAGUUGUGAAAGUGUGCGGCUCAACCGUAAAAUUGCAGUUGAAACUGGCAGUCUUGAGUACAGUAGAGGUGGGCGGAAUUCGUGGUGUAGCGGUGAAAUGCUUAGAUAUCACGAAGAACACCGAUUGCGAAGGCAGCUCACUGGACUGCAACUGACACUGAGGCUCGAAAGUGUGGGUAGCAAACAGGAUUAGAUACCCCGGUAGUC